rnacentral:rRNA from 1 species
GACGAACGCUGGCGGCGUGCUUAACACAUGCAAGUCGAACGGAAAGGCCCUGCUUUUGUCGUGUGCUCUAGUGGCGAACGGGUGAGUAACACGUGAGUAACCUGCCCUUGACUUUGGGAUAACUUCAGGAAACUGGGGCAAAUACCGGAUAGGAGCUCCUGCUGCAUGGUGGGGGUUGGAAAGUUUCGACGGUUGGGGAUGGACUCGCGGCUUAUCAGCUUGAUGGGGGGGGAGUGGCUUACCAAGGCUUUGACGGGUAGCCGGCCUGGGAGGGUGACCGGCCACCUUGGGCCUGAGAUACGGCCCAGACUCCUACGGGAGGCAGCAGUGGGGAAUAUUGCACAGUGGGCGGAAGCCUGAUGCAGCAACGCCGCGUGCGGGAUGACGGCCUUCGGGUUGUAAACCGCUUUCGCCUGUGACGAAGCGUGAGUGACGGUAAUGGGUAAAGAAGCACCGGCUAACUACGUG